CCUACGGGGUGCAGCAGUGAGGAAUAUUGGUCAAUGGUCGGGAGACUGAACCAGCCAAGCCGCGUGAGGGAUGAAGGUACAGAGUAUUGUAAACUUCUUUUGUAAGGGAACAAAGUGAGGGACGUGUGCCCGGAUGAGUGUACUUGAAGAAAAAGCAUCGGCUAACUCCGUGCCAGCAGCCGCGGUAAUACGGAGGGUGCGAGCGUUAAUCGGAAUUACUGGGCGUAAAGGGCUCGUAGGCGGUAUGUCAAGUCAGGUGUGAAAGCGUGGCGCUCAACGGGGGAACUGCCUUUGAAACUGGCAGACUUGAGUGUGUUAGAGGAUAGAGGAAUUCCUGGUGUAGGAGUGAAAUCCGUAGAUAUCUGGAAGAACAUCAGUGGCGAAGGCGACUUUCUGGCACAUAACUGACGCUGAGGAGCGAAAGCGUGGGUAGCAAACAGGAUUAGAUACCCCAGUAGUC
rnacentral:rRNA from 1 species